rnacentral:RNase_P_RNA from 3 species
UGUAGAUCCUGAGUGAUCGCGGUCUGCAUCUGCAGGCUGAGGAAAGUCCAUGCCCGCACAAGCUGCGAUGCUUGUAGUGUUCGUGCUAAGCCCAAUAAGCUUAGGGACCGUGAGAACGGUUACGGCGGCCAACCACGCUAAGACUUCGGUUAUGCGUCAGUAGGUCUGAAAAGUGCCACAGUGACGAAACGUUCAGGGAAACCUGAACGGUGGAACGGGUAAACCCCGCGAGCGAGUAACCCAAACUUUUGGUAGGGGCGUUUUGCCAAGCAAACUGAAGCAACGGCAAUACAGCGGCAACGCUGAGAUAGAUGAUGACUGAAGGAACCCGCGCCUGAACAGGUUCUGGAACAAAACAUGGCUUAUAGGGAUCUACAUGCA